rnacentral:lncRNA from 1 species
AUUUUGUAGAGCACAACUGAUUUCCAAAUUAGGAAUUCAGGGCCCACAUCCAUGUGAAGCAACUGAUUAUUCCUAUAGCACUUGCUUAUUGCUGCUUUAAAGAAAACCUAGAUUCUAGCCCUUAUUCUAAACUAACCUGCUGGACAAUCUUUGAUAUUUAUUCCUUGACAUAUGUUGAAAAUUGAAUAUGAGAGUUUAUCCUGGUGAGUCUGUGAAGAUAACUGUUGCCAUGAAAAC